UCAAGAUGAGAUAUCCCAUUCGAAAGAAGUAAGACCCCUUGAAGACGACGAGGUAGAUAGGGCAGAGGUGGAAGUGCCGUAAGGCAUGGAGCUGACUGUUACUAAUCGGUCGAGGGCUUGACCUG
rnacentral:rRNA from 1 species